CCUACGGGUGGCUGCAGUGGGGAAUAUUGGACAAUGGGCGAAAGCCUGAUCCAGCCAUGCCGCGUGUGUGAAGAAGGCCUUCGGGUUGUAAAGCACUUUCAGUGGGGAAGAAAGCCUUGGGGCUAAUACCCUCGAGGAAGGACAUCACCCACAGAAGAAGCACCGGCUAACUCCGUGCCAGCAGCCGCGGUAAUACGGAGGGUGCGAGCGUUAAUCGGAAUUACUGGGCGUAAAGCGCGCGUAGGCGGUCUGAUAAGCCGGUUGUGAAAGCCCCGGGCUCAACCUGGGAACGGCAUCCGGAACUGUCAGGAUAGAGUGCAGGAGAGGAAGGUAGAAUUCCCGGUGUAGCGGUGAAAUGCGUAGAGAUCGGGAGGAAUACCAGUGGCGAAGGCGGUCUUCUGGACUGACACUGACGCUGAGGUGCGAAAGCGUGGGUAGCAAACAGGAUUAGAUACCCGGGUAGUC
rnacentral:rRNA from 1 species